CCCUUCGAUGUUCUGGGCCGCACGCGCGCUACACUGAUCGAGUCAACAAGUUUACAACCUUUUCCGAAAGGAAUGGGUAAUCUUUUGAAACUCGAUCGUGAUAGGGAUAGAUGAUUGCAAUUAUUUGUCUUGAACGAGGAAUGCCUAGUAGGGUCGAUUCAACAGAUCGACCCGAUUACGUCCCUGCCCUUUGUACACACCGCCCGUCGCUCCUACCGAUUGGGUGUUCCGGUGAGGACUCUGGAUCCGGGGUUGAGUGGCUUGGGGUUUUACUCCUUGGCACGGCUCUGGAGAAAUUGUUCAAAUCUUAACACUUAGAGGAAGGAGAAGUCGUAACA
rnacentral:rRNA from 1 species